rnacentral:rRNA from 1 species
CCUACGGGUGGCAGCAGUCGAGAAUUAUUCACAAUGGGGGAAACCCUGAUGGUGCGACGCCGCGGGGGGGAAUGAAGGUCUUCGGAUUGUAAACCCCUGUCAUGUGGGAGCAAAUUAAAAAGAUAGUACCACAAGAGGAAGAGACGGCUAACUCUGUGCCAGCAGCCGCGGUACUACAGAGGUCUCAAGCGUUGUUCGGAAUCACUGGGCGUAAAGGGUGCGUAGGCGGUUUCGUAAGUCGUGUGUGAAAGGGUCGGGCUCAACCCGCGGACUGCACAUGAUACUGCGAGACUAGAGUAAUGGAGGGGGAACCGGAAUUCUCGGUGUAGCAGUGAAAGGCGUAGAUAUCGAGAGGAACACUCGUGGCGAAGGCGGGUUCCUGGACAUUAACUGACGCUGAGGCACGAAGGCCAGGGGAGCGAAAGGGAUUAGAUACCCUGGUAGUC